ACUGCAUGGAGGGGAAAAAUUGGAAUUAUUUGAUUAAAAGCGAGUCUAUAGGAAAUGGCUUCCUGCAAUUCAGAGCUGUCUACAUAACAGAAUUCUGGAUGACGGAUCUCAUACCUGUAUACAUCGCUUAAUGGAUCCAAGAUGAUCUGGCUAUGGAUGGUGCAGCUGCAGCAGCUGAUGAGCAGGCAGCACCACCUGAUGCAGCACAACCACCACCUUCUCCUGAGGACUGGGAUGAAGAGGAUCAG